rnacentral:lncRNA from 1 species
CCAGAACAAACAUCACACCUCUUUCAAUAAUUGCCUAUAAAUUCUGAAGCAUGGAUUCAUUUUUUAAACACUAAAAACACUACAGAACUUUCUUCUUUCUGAAAAUACUGCAUUCUAAUUUGCAGUCUCUCUCUCAUAUUCAUAAGUAUGAUUUUGCUCCGUUCUUUGAGUUUGUUGGUAUCCUGCAGUUUGUAUUUAUACAGUUGCAGGAAGGUUUAUUCCGUUUCAUCCUA